UGACUCUUAACAUUACCAAGUCC
rnacentral:misc_RNA from 1 species